rnacentral:rRNA from 1 species
GAUGAACGCUGGCGGCGUGCCUAAUACAUGCAAGUCGAGCGAACAGACGAGGAGCUUGCUCCUCUGACGUUAGCGGCGGACGGGUGAGUAACACGUGGAUAACCUACCUAUAAGACUGGGAUAACUUCGGGAAACCGGAGCUAAUACCGGAUAAUAUAUUGAACCGCAUGGUUCAAUAGUGAAAGACGGUUUUGCUGUCACUUAUAGAUGGAUCCGCGCCGCAUUAGCUAGUUGGUAAGGUAACAGCUUACCAAGGCAACGAUGCGUAGCCGACCGGAGAGGGUGAUCGGCCACCCUGGAACGGAGACACGGUCCAGACUCCUACGGGAGGCAGCAGUAGGGAAUCUUCCGCAAUGGGCGAAAGCCUGACGGAGCAACGCCGCGUGAGUGAUGAAGGUCUUCGGAUCGUAAAACUCUGUUAUUAGGGAAGAACAAAUGUGUAAGUAACUAUGCACGUCUUGACGGUACCUAAUCAGAAAGCCACGGCUAACUACGUG